CUACGUCUACAGGAGAGGUUUGAGUCUGGACGUCAGGACGACGCUGGCGGCGUGCUUACACAUGCAAGUCGAACGGAAGGCCCUGCUUUUGUGGGUGCUCGAGUGGCGAACGGGUGAGUAACACGUGAGUAACCUGCCCUUGACUUUGGGAUAACUUCAGGAAACUGGGGCUAAUACCGGAUAGGAGCUCCUGCUGCAUGGUGGGGGUUGGAAAGUUUCGGCGGUUGGGGAUGGACUCGCGGCUUAUCAGCUUGUUGUGGGGUAGUGGCUUACCAAGGCUUUGACGGGUAGCCGGCCUGAGAGGGUGACCGGCCACAUUGGGACUGAGAUACGGCCCAGACUCCUACGGGAGGCAGCAGUGGGGAAUAUUGCACAAUGGGCGGAAGCCUGAUGCAGCAACGCCGCGUGCGGGCUGACGGCCUUCGGGUUGUAAACCGCUUUCGCCUGUGACGAAGCGUGAGUGACGGUAAUGGGUAAAGAAGCACCGGCUAACUACGUG
rnacentral:rRNA from 1 species